rnacentral:lncRNA from 1 species
CCUUGCACUGGGAGGUGCCCCCGGCAUCAAAUCCGCCGAAAUGGAAUCUGCGAAUAAGUUCAAUAAUCCAAACGAAGUUUCGAUGGUACAGGAAAGGGAAUCUAUACAGCGCCCAGUGUGGGCAAAUGAGACGAGGCUUGGAAAAUAUCAGCACGCAGAGGAGGUCUUAAAAGAAACGGCAACAUUUUACCUUGUCAGAUCGACGUACAGUAAAGUAGACAAGUUGUGGGGCACCAAUUUUUCUUGCGUCAGCAUGCGACACGUCAAAGAAAGCAACAGAACGACUUAUUUCUCAUUCAAGAACUCGUCAGAGUCGACAAAAUAUACGCUAAAUAUGUCAACCGAACUCACUACUACGUACGGGUACAGUAUGUCUAACGCCAUUCAAUACCAGCUACCUG